rnacentral:rRNA from 1 species
GAUGAACGCUGGCGGCGUGCCUAAUACAUGCAAGUCGAGCGAACAGACGAGGAGCUUGCUCCUUUGACGUUAGCGGCGGACGGGUGAGUAACACGUAGGUAACCUACCUAUAAGACUGGGAUAACUUCGGGAAACCGGAGCUAAUACCGGAUAAUAUUUCGAACCGCAUGGUUCGAUAGUGAAAGAUGGCUUUGCUAUCACUUAUAGAUGGACCUGCGCCGUAUUAGCUAGUUGGUAAGGUAACGGCUUACCAAGGCAACGAUACGUAGCCGACCUGAGAGAGUGAGCGGCCACACUGGAGCUGAGACACGGUCGAGACUCCUACGGGAGGCAGCAGUAGGGACUCUUCAGCAAUGGGCGAAAGCCUGACGGAGCAACGCCGCGUGAGUGAUGAAGGUCUUCGGAUCGUAAAACUCUGUUAUUAGGGAAGAACAAACGUGUAAGUAACUGUGCACGUCUUGACGGUACCUAAUCAGAGAGCCACGGCUAACUACGUG